rnacentral:rRNA from 1 species
AUUGAACGCUGGCGGCAGGCCAAACACAUGCAAGUCAAACGGUAACAGGAAGCGGCUUGCUGCUUUGCUGACGAGUGGCGGACGGGUGAGUAAUGUCUGGGAAACUGCCUGAUGGAGGGGGAUAACUACUGGAAACGGUAGCUAAUACCGCAUAACGUCGCAAGACCAAAGAGGGGGACCUUAGGGCCUCUUGCCAUCGGAUGUGCCCAGAUGGGAUUAGCUAGUAGGUGGGGUAACGGCUCACCUAGGCGACGAUCCCUAGCUGGUCUGAGAGGAUGACCAGCCACACUGGAACUGAGACACGGUCCAGACUCCUACGGGAGGCAGCAGUGGGGAAUAUUGCACAAUGGGCGCAAGCCUGAUGCAGCCAUGCCGCGUGUAUGAAGAAGGCCUUCGGGUUGUAAAGUACUUUCAGCGGGGAGGAAGGGAGUAAAGUUAAUACCUUUGCUCAUUGACGUUACCCGCAGAAGAAGCACCGGCUAACUCCGUG